AGAGUUUGAUCCUGGCUCAGGAUGAACGCUAGCUACAGGCUUAACACAUGCAAGUCGAGGGGCAGCAUGACCUAGCAAUAGGUUGAUGGCGACCGGCGCACGGGUGAGUAACACGUAUCCAACCUGCCGAUUAUUCCGGGAUAGCCUUUCGAAAGAAAGAUUAAUACUGGAUAGCAUAACGAGAAGGCAUCUUCUUGUUAUUAAAGAAUUUCGAUAAUCGAUGGGGAUGCGUUCCAUUAGUUUGUUGGCGGGGUAACGGCCCACCAAGACAUCGAUGGAUAGGGGUUCUGAGAGGAAGGUCCCCCACAUUGGAACUGAGACACGGUCCAAACUCCUACGGGAGGCAGCAGUGAGGAAUAUUGGUCAAUGGGCGAGAGCCUGAACCAGCCAAGUAGCGUGAAGGAUGACUGCCCUAUGGGUUGUAAACUUCUUUUAUAUGGGAAUAAAGUGCAGUAUGUAUACCGUUUUGUAUGUACCAUACGAAUAAGGAUCGGCUAACUCCGUGCCAGCAGCCGCGGUAAUACGGAGGAUCCGAGCGUUAUCCGGAUUUAUUGGGUUUAAAGGGAGCGUAGGCGGAUUAUUAAGUCAGUUGUGAAAGUUUGCGGCUCAACCGUAAAAUUGCAGUUGAUACUGGUAGUCUUGAGUGCAGCAGAGGUAGGCGGAAUUCGUGGUGUAGCGGUGAAAUGCUUAGAUAUCACGAAGAACUCCGAUUGCGAAGGCAGCUUACUGGACUGUAACUGACGCUGAUGCUCGAAAGUGUGGGUAUCAAACAGGAUUAGAUACCCUGGUAGUCCACACAGUAAACGAUGAAUACUCGCUGUUUGCGAUAUACAGCAAGCGGCCAAGCGAAAGCAUUAAGUAUUCCACCUGGGGAGUACGCCGGCAACGGUGAAACUCAAAGGAAUUGACGGGGGCCCGCACAAGCGGAGGAACAUGUGGUUUAA
rnacentral:rRNA from 1 species